rnacentral:rRNA from 1 species
ACGGAAGGCAGCAGUGGGGAAUAUUGCACAAUGGGCGAAAGCCUGAUGCAGCGACGCCGCGUGAGUGAAGAAGUAUCUCGGUAUGUAAAGCUCUAUCAGCAGGGAAGAAAAUGACGGUACCUGUCUAAGAAGCCCCGGCUAACUACGUGCCAGCAGCCGCGGUAAUACGUAGGGGGCAAGCGUUAUCCGGAUUUACUGGGUGUAAAGGGAGCGUAGACGGUUUGGCAAGUCUGAAGUGAAAUGCGGGGGCUCAACUCCUGAACUGCUUUGGAAACUGUCGAACUAGAGUGCAGGAGAGGUAAGUGGAAUUCCUAGUGUAGCGGUGAAAUGCGUAGAUAUUAGGAGGAACACCAGUGGCGAAGGCGGCUUACUGGACUGUAACUGACGUUGAGGCUCGAAAGCGUGGGGAGCAAACAGGAUUAGAUACCCUGGUA